GACUGGUAGCAGCAGCUGGUUUACAAGAACUUAGCUGAGUGGAAGGAGCGCGGGCUUAGCUAGGCAGCUUUGGGAUCCAGUCACAGCUCUUCUUCCACUUGUGAGAUGUGUGACCUUGGGCAAGUUGCUUAACCUUUCUGAGCCCUGGUUUCUCAUCUGGGAGAUCAGAUGAUUUGGACCUUCCAGCCCUGCAGCUCUGCCUUAGCAGGCAUCCCAGGACCCCGUCCCCACUGCUAGUAUGGCGAUUCCCCACACAGAGUUGGGUGCUCUGGAGAGGCGGCACAGUUCAAGGUGAGAUAGAACUUGUAUCCUCACCAUGGGCGUGACGGGCAGAGGGCAUUGAGUACCUCUGUUCACUCUAGUGGACGAUGACCAGGGAGAGGUGAGAUGACCUGUAAUGGUGGAGAGGAUGUUCCUUGGGAAAAAGGAAGGGGGUCAGCCUUGCUCUCCCUCUUCACCUCAAGAGACUGCUGGUAGGCUGAUGGCUGGUAACAUCUUAGACUCAAUUCUGGGAAGAAUUAGUGGAGUUUGGCCCAGGUCUCCCUCUGGCUCAGGUGUGAUGGAGAGCCCACCAAUGACAACCCUUGAGAGCAGUUUCCUGUAGGUCGUCAUGUCUGCCCUCUUUACUUUGGGGGCUGCCUGCAGCGAGGGAUUGAUGCAGGUCUCUUUUCUCCUUUGGUUCAGAGUUCUGCAGGCAUGCUCCUUGAAGGGAGAAAGGAAGCGGUUUUGUCCCUGGUACAACACGUCUUUAAAAAUGCACCUUGGGGCGCCUGGGUGGCGCAGUCGGUUGAGCGUCCGACUUCAGCCAGGUCACGAUCUCGCGGUCCGUGAGUU